CUUGGUAAUACAGAUGAGCUCCUCAUUUCCCCACUCUUUCGAAAUCAUCUUCCCCACCACUUCUGAGUAAC
ensembl:misc_RNA